AGCCAGAAUAACAAAACUGGAAUAGGUAUGCCUCGUGGGGACGCCACUGCAGUUCCUGAGAGAUUAUUGGACUAAGAAUCUUGCAGAAAAAUAUGAGAGUUGAAGUCCUAACAAGAGCACUGCAGUUGAGUUCCCAUGAGAUUCACACCAUUGGUGUUAAAAGUGGAGGUUGGAGGCGUGUGCUGAAAUAACUGGGUGGUUGCAGUCCUGAAGAGGAGGAACUGGACAUCAGUAUUGUAGAAAUAUUGAGUAUGUUUUUUUUUUUUGUAUUUAUACCUCAUGUAAUCCCUUUGUCAGAGGGGCCCGUGACCCACUGCUCUGCUGUACAUCCUGCAAUAUAUGCAAUGUGCUAAAUGCCUCUCUAGUAAAGAGUCAUACAAGAAGUCUGCAGUAGCCAGUGAAAAAUCUACAUCUAAAACAAACACUGGUCUUACUGUACUUAUUCUGGGCCAUGCUGCACUCACCCCAUCUUAUCAACGCCUCCCCCCCCUGUUUUUUGUUUUUUUUAAAUGAUCGUUCAGUAUUCCUUUUCUUUAUCUACUUCUGUUUCCUGAUGACCCAUUUGUCAUUAGUUUCCAGGAAUGUUUCUCGGCUACACUGUCUCAGUACAUUGCUUUUUUUAUAGCUUAACCCAGUGUUGGCUAAUCUUGGUACUACAGAUGUUUUGAGGUCUACAGUUAUUUAUGAUGUUCAUCCAAAUGGUCAGCAGACGUAUAAAAACAGUUAGUUAUUUUUAACUUAUUGCUCUGCUCUAUGUGUAAUUGUGAGAAUAGGUGAAUAAGGAUGCACCCACUCAAAAACUAUCAAGCAGGGCAAUUUCUUUUCUAAAUCUGUUUUAUUCUAUAUUAUAUUUGUGGGUGCUUUUGCAAACUCACAUUUAUAGAAAAUCUAUCCUCUGGUCAUCUACCUUCAGAGUGUUGACAUUAAUGAUGGUUGAGCAUCAUGGGUAAUGUGGACCUCGAAUAACUGCAGUGCCAGUUCGUUGUUGCUGCUUUAGAUAAUUCCACAAAGCAGUGUGAUUGUUCUGAUCACCAUUAAGCAGUGUCACUACAAAUAGGACAUGUCAUGGAAAAUAGCUUGUUAAUUUGUAAGCCACUCUUUAUUUUUGUUAGCUAUGAAAACAUACUUGAUUCAUAUAUAUCAUUUUUUUUUUUAACUCUCUUGGUAGUGUUUUUUUGUUAUACAAAUCUGUUAAUGUUAGGCUCUGAAAAGCUGCAUCUGGACUGGACUGGAAUAUAACCACAACUGGAGUUUACACCUAGAGUAAAAGUGUUUUUUGUGUGUAUGGGUUAGAACUUUGGUAGCCAACCAGUAACACUUCAGGUGCUGUGGUACUAAAUCUCCCAUGUCACAGCCGGCAUAGAAUCACGUGGUAUGUCUACAGCAGCAGGAGAGACACCACUGGCUUAGGUAAUUUACAUGUGUUGACAUAGUUUAUAUCAUAUUCCCUGCAAAAACACGAUACAGAAAUAAAUUACUUAAAUAAUUUGAAGAGAGAUCAUCCCUAUUAGAGCCAUAUUAAAAGCUUUUGCUAUUUAAGAGCUGUGUUGCACCCCAAUCCGAUGUGAAGUAGCACACGGAGACACAUUCAUUUAUAGUAAAGUACCAGUUAGAAUUGCUUUUCUGUUGCAAGUUAUGCAAUGUAUUAACAGUAGAGCUGGAAGGGGGACGGGGGAAUGUACUCAGAGCUAUAUUCUGAUUGGCUGCUUGGUUCUGGAUCAGUCAGAAUACAGCUAAAAUCUACAGCAUAGUUCAUGAUUAGAAAAGUGUUUAGACUAGAAAUUGCAAUCUUCUACAGAACAACAAACUCAAACUAAACUGAAACAUUAGAAUGUCCAAGUGUAUUUCGGACUGAGAACAGAAAGGUCUACCAUAGCAAUCCUGUAAAACCUACUCUAGGGUUUGUAGAAUUUGCCCUCCCUGCUUUUUAAGAUGUGCUCACAUGGUGAAUUUACCUUUCCAAUGCUUUCUGUGUCAUCCUCUAAUACAGCAUGCUGCACCUUGCAUAGUUUCUGCCAAACAUGCAUUAAAUAACCUAAUCUUCUCUAGUUCAUGGCCGCCCGUACCUUCUGUAACCCACUGCCAUCUGAAACGUCUCUGGCUUACUGCCACCCAUGUCUUCUGUAGUCCAGAAGUCGUCAGAAUGUUAUUGCAAGACAUCUGAAGAGCUACGUUAAGCACCUGAUUUUUCUUUUUAUUUAUUUUAGUGUUGCAAUAUUUUGGGAAAUGUAUGCAUAAACGCAGCAAUAAUGGAAGUGUUAUUUACCAUUUUAUCCCAACUUAGUGUAAGAAUUGUGCAGGCCAACUUUCAGUAUUUUUUUUUAAAUGUGUAUUUAUUUUAAUAUAUGUUUUUAUAUUUACUUUUUUUUUUUUGUAGCCAACACGAAACAAAGCCUUCAAACUCCAACGCUGUUUGACGCUAGCUUGUCUGAAAUUCUAGCCACAUAUAAUGCAAACUUGCAUAAAUGUAAUUUAUAUUUUGAGCCGUAAAGGGUCAUCCAACUGCCACAUUUCAAAGCCUAAACACUUCAAGCACUGCUUGUGAUGUGUUCUAAUUGAUAUAUUCCAUGUCAUUAAAGAACUCAUCUCUAUUGGGGAGUAAUUUUAAUAAUUUACCCAUAAUGAGGGAGGUUGUUCAACAUGGCUUGUAUGUUUCUUUAGAUUCUUCUUUUUCUCAAUAGUCCACAUAUUCUGUGGCAGUAGAUGUUGGUAGAUAUGCAAAAAAGGUUUUGUCCGAAUCAUAAGCCUUUUAAUCAACACCCAAGCAAAUCAAUGUAUCAAUUUAUUUCCCCGACAGAUACAUUAAUUUCAGUAUGGUUAAAAGGCUUUUGAUUCGGCUCAAUUGACUUUAUGGGCAAAACACAUUUUUGUACAUAUCUAGAUGUUGGUCUUUGAAGUGCAGUCUAUCUAAGUUGGGAAGUUGGCACUUUGCAACAAUGAGACGCCACUCACAAGCAAUGCACCAGUUUAGUAUACACUUGGGGCUCAAGGAUAAUGUAUUGUCUCUUUCCGCCCAAGUAAACACCUCACCUCUAAAUCUUAUGUCACGUAUUUUCUUUAAGUGGCAAGUAACGCCCUUUAACCUAAAUGUCCAGUACUAUACACAGAAUAUAGAUCCAUCAGUGACCAUGGUUUAGAGCACGGUUGCCCAAAAGGUAGAUCCCCAGAUGUUGUAGAAUUACAACUCUCAUGAUUGCUUUAGAAUGACAAGGCAUCAUUUAAGUUGUAGUUUUAAAACGUCUAGGGGGGAUCUACCUUUUGGGCUCUCCUGGGUUAGAGAGGGUCCAUUUCAUAAAUUGGAUCACUCUUGUUAAUAGUUUAGGCCCAUUAGCAACACAGAUUAAUCCAAAAUCAAACUUGAAACAUUAAUCGAAAAAACUAUUUUGGUGUUGGCUGCUGCCUGAAAUAAGAUACAAUUUUCUGUUAUUUUUUUUUAUACAGUAAUACAAUUGUCUGUUAUUUUUUAUGGUUUAUGAGCAGAUACGAGCAGGUUAGUUUAACUGGAUGGCCAUAUUCCCUUUGAUGGUUAAAUAAAAAAAUGUAUAGUUUUCUGUGGCAAGUAGCCUCUCUGUAUGUGUACACUGACUCUCCUUUUAUCAUACAGAUACAUAACAAUUUCUAUAUAUCUUUUUUAAAUUUAUGAUGUGAAAAGGAGGCAUUUCAAAAAUCUAGAUAUAUAUCAUAGCCUGUCUUUUAAAAUUAAUUCCUAACAAGAAUCGUUCAACCUUCUAUCUUAAUUGUUAAUGUAAAAAAGUGUUGUAAGGCACCUUAAGUAAAAUAGUCUGUUACUUUGGAUAAAAUUUUUUAGUUUUUAAAGAGAAAGCCAGCAAACCAUGUGAAUGUCACUGCAUUUUGAUACUACAGCAGAAUUUGUAUAUGUAUAAUUAUUUUUAUUUUAUUUUGCUGAGAUACUGUCAUUUGCAAUUGUGGCAUUGUAAAAUUAGUAGCCGCACUACACAUUUAUAUAUCUCUUUCUAUGGCUCAUUGUUAACUACAUGACCUCUAGUGACAGUCAGAGAAAGAUUUGCAAGAGAACCACAACAUAAAAACUUGAGAUGCGUGUAGAAAGAUGCUGCAGACGCUCCUAGUAAAAAGGUUAAUUCAAAACAUGAAUUGAGAGUUUAUUUAGAGAAUUCUGCUGCCAUUUUUAACUUUAUUCACUGGCCAAAAUGUAGAAUCUAAAGUAGCUAAAUGGUUGAUGUAAAAGAAAAUGUAUUUUUCCUGCAUUGCUUCUGUAAAUACAUAUGUUCCUCUUUGCUGUAAGGUAUCCAUUUUAAUUUAUUGUAAAUCAUCCCAAACAGCGUGUAACUUAAAAAUGCAGUGUAUUCAAUGCAUUUUUAAAAGUAAAUGCACCAUUUUGUGGCAGUGUGCCACUGACUAGAUCAGAAUUGGGCACCCUGCCUUCAAAACAUUGAAGUCUUAAAGGAACACUAUAGCUUUAGGAAUACAAACCUGUAUUCCGAACACUAUAGUGCCAGUGUCCCAGUCAUAGACAGGUCCCCCAAACCCAUGUUCUAUAAAAUGUAAAAAAAUGUAAGUUCUAACUUAUUAAUUACUCUUCCCUCCCCAUCCCCCCACCCACCUCUCCCGUGCUGAAGCUUCCUUGGUGCUGCUCACCUCUACACCUCCAGCUUCUUAUCAAGGAGGCAUGGCCCCAUCCGCAAUUGUCCAAUCCAAUGCUUUUCUUAGAUGUGCAUGUGCAGUACACGUCUGUGCGCACAUUCAGGCUUCCCCAUAGGAAAGCAUUUUCUUCAUUGCUUUCCUAUGAGCUUCCGUGUCACGUGACAAAGUUUCACUCGGUCAGUGCUGUGGAAGUGCCUCUAGUGGCAGUCUGGAAGAGACUGAGAAUAUUUUACAUUGCAGGGUUUAUAGGACCAGGGCCACCUCACCAAGGCCACUUUAAUGUGAUGAAGUGGUCUGGGUGACUUCAAUCCUUCACCAUGAUUGGGUUGUCAUCAUCCUUGACAAGCCCAAUAGCUGGCCAAAUACAUAUUUUUUAAUUUUUUUUUACACUAAAGCUGCAUUUUUAGUAACUUUUUUUUUUUAUAUAUAUAUAUAGAUACUUAGCUUAACUUAUUUUUGCAAAAAAUAGCAGUAUCUCCUUUGUCAGCCUUCUGCCUCUCAGGUUUUUCUGUCAGCCUUGCCUGCUUUAAUGUUUCUCUAAUAAAUGGUAGAAAUCAGGUACCGCUGAACCUUAGUCUGGUAGAGGAUUGUGGGAGUUAUCUCAGUUGGGCACAAAGAAUAUAGACUUCCACUCAAUCCUUUGCCCUCUUUCCCAGGCUUGCGCUUCCAUCCUGUAAUGAACGUUCACACAGAACAUUUUCCUUUUAAUGUGCAAAUUGAACAUAUUGUAUUCCUUCUUCCUAUACAGGCGAGUUAGGCAUUCAAUAGUUGAUUGUUUUUUUUGAAGACACUUAACUUUAUAGAACAUGUCACUUAAGCCAGUAAAGCCUUGUACUGCUGCAGUCAUACCUUCUCUGCUAUUCUGGCCUUUCCAUUUUUUAAUAAUUUUUUUUCCAUUUUAUUUUGAGAUGCUGUUACUGAAACGCUGCUAUAAACUAAUUGCAUGGAGAAACCAAACACUAAGACAUUGUAUCAGAGUCUAUCCAACGCUAAAAUACUCCCCAUCCUCCCCCCACUGCACUCAUGUCCUCUUUCAUAUCCCCCAAACCUAUUUCUGGACAAUUACAUAUUGUAAUUGUUGGAACUAGACAUAUCACCAUUGUAAAUUUUCCACUACCAAUGGAAUGUAUUUUGAUUGUUGGCACACUAAGCAAUACGUAACGCAGGGCUGGCUAUUCUGUCUCUCCCUGAAAGGGCCACGGUUAGCCAGUCUUUGUUGCACCGGGAUCACUACACAUUGUCCAUGUUGCACGGCAAGAACAUGUAACCAACAAAGAAACACAUCCUACAGAGUCCUGCGGUUCUGCUGGAAUUGUUAGUGUGGCACAUCACUGCCACCUUUACACUAAACCAGUGCUUUAUGGGUUGUUUUUCAUUUCUUUGUAUUUUAUUUUUAAUUGGUUCUUGUAAUAUAUUUUGUUGCUUUUUUAUUUAAUUCUCACUGUUUUAUUGUCUGACUGUGAACUGCUAACAGUGUUAUAUGUGAUGUGAAUGUGACUCCUUGAGCGAACACAUUUCUUUUUGUUAUUUUUAAGAAAAUGAAAAUAAAAAAAUGAAAAAAAGGAAGUUGCAAUAUUUUAUCGCAAAUAAACUUGAAGCCUCUGCUUAA